CUCUGGGCAUGCGCAGAUCGCGCCGCGCGGGGGGAGGGGCAGAGCUGCCGCCUCCAGGUGUGUGACUGAGGUCAGGGCCCUUAUCGUACUGAGCGUGGCUCAGGCCUUGCCUGAGAUCAGGUCGGCCCGUGUGCCGGGCGCUGCACAAACCCUGACUGAGUUUGGAGGCACUCGUUGUGCCAGGCCCUGCAUCAACACCAGGCUACAGAAUAACGUCCACCUUUCGCUCCAGAUCAU